rnacentral:lncRNA from 1 species
GCCUUUAGUGUUUUAUGUUGUGUCUUGUGUACUGAUAUUUGUCUGUUUGUCUUUUUCUUUUUAGCCAUGUCGUUAUCAGUUUAUUUUUCAAUCUUUGAGUUUGGUUGUCCAUCUGGUAUCUUUCGUCCCUCUUAUCCAAGUCAGCUUAUUCUUAUGUGGUCCUUAGUUUCCUAUCCUUCAUAUUUGGGUGGUCUCUUUUAAAACCUACCACCCUUUUUUCUGUGAACUAUUUAACUACCGUAUUUAUGAUUUGUAUACCUGGUUACUGAUGACUAAAUGGAUUCAAUUUUGAC